GAUGAACGCUAGCGGGAGGCCUAACACAUGCAAGCCGAGCGGUAUUGUUUCUUCGGAAAUGAGAGAGCGGCGUACGGGUGCGUAACACGUGUGCAACCUGCCUUUAUCUGGGGGAUAACCUUUCGAAAGCAAGAUUAAUACUCAUAAUAUAUUGAACGGCAUCGUUUAAUAUUGAAAGCUCCGGCGGAUAGAGAUGGGCACGCGCAAGAUUAGCUAGUUGGUGAGGUAACGGCUCACCAAGGCGAUGAUCUUUAGGGGGCCUGAGAGGGUGAUCCCCCACACUGGUACUGAGACACGGACCAGACUCCUACGGGAGGCAGCAGUGAGGAAUAUUGGUCAAUGGGUGCAAGCCUGAACAGCCAUCCCGCGUGAAGGACGACUGCCCUAUGGGUUGUAAACUUCUCUUGUAUAGGGAUAAACCUACCCUCGUGAGGGUAGCUGAAGGUACUAUACGAAUAAGCACCGGCUAACUCCGUGCCAGCCGCCGCCGUAA
rnacentral:rRNA from 1 species